ensembl:lncRNA
UGCAUUUCAUUAUCUCCAGCCAAGACCGGACCUUCCCAUCUGGUUAUAAUAGCAAUCUGCCAGGGAGGCCAUGGUUGCAGGUCCAGUUUCCUCCAGUGCUGUGGACACCACUGCUGAUGACAUUGAUGGGAAAGUACUGUUUGCUUCUUAUUCCAGAGUCACACUCUUGGCCACAGGGGACAGGCACUUUGACAGCUCUUGUCACCCAUGUCGGACAGCCACAGUGGUUCACAGUAUCACCAGUGACCUGAGAAUGUGCUUCCCACCUGGACAGGCUUCCCUUUCUGUAUGGGCCCAUUAGUUGGGUCCUCAGCACGGGAGCUAGCAGCCGUUGAGCUCUGAGUAUGUGCAGCGACACUUCAAGUGCAGUCUCAUUUAACUUGUCUUCCUAAUAAUACAUUUCACAGACAAGGAAACAGGCUCAAAUGGUAACACUUCUCCAAGGUCGCUGGGUCUGACUGACCUCACAGGGCAUGUUUCUCACCAUUAAGCAGCACUGCCACCAACACAAGGCAGCCCUUCAUUGUGAUCCUUGGUGAUCUCCACUCUUACCUGCUGCUCCCCCGUUCAAUUAGGGGCUUCUCUCUCUUCCUCCAGGGAGUGUCUGGCUAGUUUCCUCCUCCAGAGGACUGAUGGAUUGGAGGGGCUCUAUUGCUAGGCAAGGAAGAGGCAGACUGUGGUCUCACCUGAUAGCGUCAGAUCAGGUGGACUUCCACAUGAACUGUGAAGAAGACAAAGGCUCCCUCCCCUCCUCUCCACUUUAGUCUUGGGUGUGAGGCAAAGUUUCCUCCCAUGCAGAAGCCAGUGUGCCUGUUAUGUGGGCACAGAGGUGGGAGCCGGGGGUGCCUGCCGGAGGAAGCUGAGGUGUGUUUUGGGGGCUGUGCACAGCUCCAAAGUCCCCAGUCUGAUGCUCUGACCUUCCCACAGCUUCUGCGGGCAACCUAACAAACGCUAUAAAAGCUCCUCUCCUUACACAAGCUCCAGCGGUUCCUGCCGCUGCCAUUGUGACUGAGAAGUUCAUCUGGAUCAGACACAGCCAAGGUUCUCCCUGUGACUCACGGACCUUAGAUGUGCUUUCCUGACUGAGAGGAGAGAACUCCACGCUUGAAGUCUUUCUGGCUUUUGCCUUUAGGAGAAGAGACUUCAUUAUGUGCAUAAACAAAAUGUUUUAAUCAGCAGCAAGAGGAAUACAGAAUCUUCUUCAUCCUAAGAAAAGAUGCCACCUGACUGAGGAAAUGAAUCUCCUAUGUGAAAGGUCUUCUCUCUGCAUCCUUAUCACCAGAGCUGGGGGACUGAUGGCUGAGAAGCUGCAUAAACAAACCUUGCUAAUUUACUAUCUCAUCCUAAAUUCCCCACUAGUUACAUGCCCCACACUCCAGCCAUAAGAACCUAAGAAGGGAAGAAAGGAGAUUUUCCCUGCCCUGACACUGUCCUGGCUGUUGUGAAGACUUUUAAAUCUCCCCUUGGAAGAAGUCCCUUCACAGAUACUGGCAGCCGAGUUCAGCAGGAACAUGAUUUCAUGAAAUAGAAGAGACAAUCUGAAUGAAGCCUCAGAAAUACAAUGUGUGAGAAGGCACUUAGAAGGACGAUCCUAACCAGCUACAAGCCAGAGCUUUUCUGCACAGUGUACUUUCCUUGAAUGGAUGCUACAGAUAUUCUCCCCUAGCUGUAGUAAAAUGUUAAAAAUCUCUCCUAGGAAAAUGUCACCUCCAGCUCCUGUCAGGGUGAGCUCAGCAAUAGUUUUCCUUCAUCACAUGAGAGUGAGCGAUUCUGUGUAGACUGAAUGCCAUGUAUGAAAAGUCAAUUAUGAAGAUGUUACUGAAGAGCCACAAGCUGGAGAUUUUCUACACAGUGUAACCACAUCGACUGAAAGGUACAUAUAAUCUAGCCCAGUUGAAGUGAAAAUUUUUCAAUCUCUCCAUUGAAGCAGCCCCUUCAUAGCUGUGGGCAUCUGAGUUCAGCAGGAGCAUGCUUCCACGACAUGGGAGAGAGCCUGAGGGAAGGCAGUGAACCGCAAUGUGAGCAAAAGCACUUACCAGGAUGAUCCUAAACUGCUAGAAACCAAAGCUGCUCUGCACAGUGGACAUUCCAAGAGUGGAUGUUCUAGAUAUUCUCUCAGCUGUAGUGAAAAGAUUAAAGUUUCUCCCAGGACGAUGUCACUUCCAGCUCUGGCAAGCUGAAUUCAGCAAUAGUUUUCCUUCAUCACAUGCGAGUGAGAGCCUCUGUGUAGACUGAACAGCAAGGCAUUAGAAGUCACUAUUCAAGAUGAUCCUAAAGAGGCACAAUAAAGGGUGUUUCUCCCACAUAAACUCUCAUAAAACAGAUGUUACAGAUUACCUGCUCCCAGUGCAGUGAAUGGCUUUCAGUCUCUCCUUGGAAGAAGUCCAUUCACAGCUUCGGGCAACUCAGUUCAGCAGGAGCAUGCUUUCAAGACACAGGAGAUAGAGCCUGCAUGAGGGGUGUGAACUGCAAUGUGUGUAAAGGAACUUACCAGGAUGAUCUGAAACAGCUACAGGUCAGAGCUUUUCUGCAAAUUGUACUUUCAAUGAAUGGAUAUUAUAGAUAUUCUCUCCCAGCUGUAGUGAAACGGUUAAAAGCUCUCCUAAAAAAUGUUACUUCCACCACCUGGCCACCUGCGCUCAGCCAUAGCUUUCCCUCACCAAGGGCCUGUGAGAGCCUGUGACUAGACUGCUCAGGCCUGAGUUAGAAGACAAUUAUGAAGACGAUGUUAAAGAGCCACAAGCAGGAGUUUGUCUAAACCAUGUACCCUCACUGUACAAAAGUUACAGAUAACCUGUCCUAGAGGUAGUGAAAGGUUUUCAAUCUCUCCUUGGAAGAAGUCCCUUCACAGCUAUGGGCAGUGGAGGGCAGCAGGAGCAUGCUUUCAUGUCAUGGGUUAAGAGCCUGAGGGACGGCCAUGAAUGAGACUCUUACCUACAUGAUCUGAAACAGCUAGAAGCCAGGACGACGCUGCACAGUGUACUUUCCUUGAAUGGAGCUUAUAGAUAGUCUUUCCCAGUUGUAGUGAAAUGUUUAAAAGCUCUCCUAGGAAAAUGUCACUUGUUGCCAUUGGCAAGAUGAGCUAAGUAAUGGUUGUUCUUCAUCACAUGCAUGUGAGAGAGCCUGUGUGUAGACUGCUCGGCAUGGAAUUAAAAUUCAUUUAUGGGGGCCAGUCCCAGGGCCCGGUGGUUAAGUUUGUGUGCUCCAUUUCAGUGGCCCAGGGUUUCAUUAGUUCAGAGUCUGGCCACAGACAUGGCACCACUUGCCAAGCCAUGCUGAGAUAGCAUCCCACAUGGCAGAGCCAGAAGGACCUACAACUAGAAUAUACAACUAUGUACAGGGGGGCUUUGGGGAGAAGAAGAAAAAAAGUCACCUAUGAAUAUGAUUUAAAGAGCCAUGAGCAGGGGUUUUUCUAAAGUGUGUACCCUGUAUGAAAGGCAGAGAUACUCAGUCCCCAUGGUAGUGAACACUUUUCAAUCUCUCCUUGGAAAAAGACCCUUCACAGCUAUGGGCAUCAGAGUUCAGCAGGGACAACCUUGCAUGACAAGGGAGACAGAGCAUCAGUGAACGCCAUGAAGUGCAAUGUAUCAGGUACUUAACUAGAUGAUCUGAAACAGCUUGAAGCCAGGGCAUUUCUGCAAACUGUGCUUCCCUUGAGUGUGUGUUAUAGAUAUUUUUCACAGCCGUGGUGAAAUGCUUAAAAGCUCUUCUGGGAAAAUGUCACUUCCCCCACCUGGGAUGGUUAGGUCACCAACAGUUUUCCUUCAUCACACGCAUGUGAGAGCCUCGAUUUAGACUGCUCAGCAUUGAACCAAAAGUCACUUGUAAAGAUGACAUUAAAGAGCCCAAAGCAGAAGUUUUUCUAAGCCAUGUACCACAUUGUGUGAAAGUUACAGAUAAUCAUUCCCCGUGGCAGGAACAGCUUCUCAGGCUCUCGUUGGAAGGAGUCCCUUCACAGCUAUGGACUGCUGAACGCAGCAGGAACGUGCUUUCACGUCAUGGGAGAGAGAGCCUGAGUGAAGACCCAGAGCUGCAAUGUGUGAUCCACUCACCUGGACGGUCUGAAGCUGCUGGAAGGCAGGGCUUUCUGCACAGUGUAGUUUCCUUGAAUGUGUGUUAGAGAUACUAUUUCCCAGCAGUAGUGAAAUGUUUAAAACCUCUCCUGGGAAAACGUCGCUUCAACCCCUGGCAUGGUGAGGUCAGCAGUAGUUUUCCUUCACCACAUGCGCUUGACAGCCAGCGUCUUGACUGCUAGGCAUAGAAUUAAAAGUCACUUAAGAGAAUGAUACUAAAGAACCACAAGCAUUUAUUAUGCUCAACCACGUACUCGUAUUGUCCGAAAGCAACAAAUAAUCUGUCCCAAGGGUAGAGAAAUGUUCUCAGUCUCUCCUUCGAAGAAUUCUGUUCACAACUACAGACACUUGAGUUCAGCAGGGAAAAUAUUCCAUGACAAGGGAGACAGAUGCCUGAGCGAAGGUUGUGAACUGCAAUAAGUGGGUCGCUUACUUAGAUGAUCUGAAAUGGCUGGAAGCCAGGGCUUUUCUGCAUGGUGCACUUCCCUUGACUAUGUCCUGUAGAUAUUGUGUCCCAGCAGCAGUGAAACAUUUAAAAGCUAGUCAAAUGCCACUUGCAGCUCCUGGGAAGUUGAGCUCAGUAAUAGUUUUCCUUCAUCACAUGCUGCUGAGAGCCUACGUGUCUGCAAGACUGCUCAGCAUUCGGUUAAAUGUCACUUAUGUAGACCAUAUUAAAGACCCACAAGCAGGAGUUUUUCUAAAUCUUAUACCCACAUUGUAGAAAAUUUACAGAUAAUCAUUCCCAUUGGUUGUGAAAGUAUUUCAAGAACUCCUUCGAAGAAGUUUCUUCAGAGCUAUGGAGAGUAGAGUGCACUAGGAACAUGUUUGCCUGUCCUGGGUUAGAAAUCCUGAGUGAAGGCCGUGAACUGCAAUGUGUGAGGCUCUGACCUAGCUGAUCUGAUACAGCUAGAAGGCGGGAUGAUUCUGCACAGCGAAGUUUCCUAGAAGGGAGCUCAUAGAUAUUCUCUCCCAUCUGUAUUGAAAUGUUUAGAAACUCCUCUGGGAAGACGUCACUUCCUCCUCCUGGCGCGGUGAGGUCACUAAUGUUUUCCUUCAUCAAAUGCGUGGGAGAGUCUGUGUCUAGACUGCUCAGCAGUGAAUUAAAAGUGACUUUUGAAGAUGGUAUUAAACAGCCACAAGCAGAUUUUCUAAACUGUGUACCUGCCUAGAAAACAAGUUACAUAUAAUCAUUCCCAGAGGCAGUGAAGGCUUUUCAAUCUCUCCGUGGAAGAAGUCCCUUCAUAGUGAUGGAGAGCAAAGUGCAACAGGAACAUGUUUUCAUGGCGUGGGAGAGAAAGCCUGAGUGAAGGCCACGAAAUGCAAUGUGUGAGGCUCCGCCCUAGAUGAUCUGAUACAGCUGGAAGCCGGGGCUAUUCUGCACAGUGUACUUUCCUCGAAUGGAGCUUAUAGAUAUUCUCUCCCAGCUGUACUUAAAUGCAUGAAACGUCUCCUGGGAUAAUGUCACGUGAACCUCCUGGUGUGGUGAUGUCACAAUAGUUUUCCUUCAUCACAUCCGUGUGAGAGCCUGUGUCUAGACUGCUCCGCACUGAAUUCAAAGUCACUCUUGAAGACGAUGUUCAAGAGCCACAAGCAGGAGUUCUUCUGAACCGUGUACCCGCAUUGUAUAAAGUUAGAGACAUUCGGUGGCUGCGCUAGUGAGCAGUUUUCAGUCUCUCCCUGGGAGAAGUCCCUUCACAGACACAGGCAACUGAGUGCAGUAGGAACCUGCUUUCAUGACAUAGGAGGGAGCCUGGGCGAAGGCUGAGAACUGCGAUGUGUGAGGCACUUACCUAGAUGAUCCAAAAGAGCUAGAAGCCGGGGCUGUUCUGCACAAUGUACUUUCGUUCAAUGUGUGUGAUAGAAGUUGUCUCCCAGCAGUAUUGAAAUGUUUCAAAGCUCUCCUAGUCAAAUGUCACUUGCAGUUCCUGGCAAGCUCAGCUCAGAGAUAGUUUUCUCUCAUCACAUGCCUGUGAGAGCCUGUGUGUAGACUGCUCAGCGCUGGAUUAAAAGUCACUCAUGAAGAUGAUAUUACAGAGCCACAAGGAGAAGUUUUUCUAAGCCAUGAACCCGCAUUGAAUGAAAGUUACUGAUAAUCUCUCCCAGCGGUAGGAAGGGGUUUUCAAUCCCUCCUUGGAAGAAGUCCCUUCACAGCUGUGGGCAGAUGAGUGCAGCAGGAACACGCUUUCACGCCAUGGGAGACAGCCUGAGGGAGGCCAUGAUCUGCCAUGCGUGGAAAGGAAGUUACCAGGAUGAUCCUCAGAGCUACCGGCUGGAGGUUUUACACACAGAGCACUUUCCUUGAAUGUGUGCGAUAGAGACGCUCUCCCAGCCUUGUGAAAUGUUUAAAAGCUCCCCUGGGAAAAAGUCAGUUUCACCUCUUGACGUGGUGAGGUCAGCAGGUUUUCCUUCAUGACAUGCAUUUGACAGCCAGUGUCUUGAGUGCUUGGCAUAGAAUUAAAAGUGACUUAAAAACUAUAUUAAAGAGCCACAAGCAGUUGUUCUAAACUGUGUACCCACACUGUCCAAAAGUAACAGCUAAACUGUCCCAGAGAGAGGGAAAGGUUUUCAAUCUCUCCUUGGAAGAAAUCCCUCCACAACUAUGGGCAUCUGAGUUCAGCAGGGACAGUCUUUCCUGACACGGGAGGCAGAGCCUGAGUGUAGGCCGUGAACUGCAGUGUGUGAGGCCCUUACCUAGAUGAUCUGAAACAGCUGGAAGCCAGGGUUUUCGGCACAGUGUACUUACUUCCUUACACAGUGGACUAGAAUAAAGGAAACCUCAUUUUAAAUGAGAUUGGGAGGCUAGAAGGGGGAGCCUUCAUGCACUACCACUUGAUAUCAAUUACAGAAAGAAUCAUCAAUUACAGACCCCAACAGGAAAAUAUGUCCAUUGCAUUCCCAACAAGAAAUUGACUACCCCAGCAACUCAGCCCAGGAGAAAUCAUCACCACCGUGAACUCUCACUUGCUACAAAUGGCCUUUUGUUCAAAACAACCCCUCCCAACUUACUCCUUUUUCUCUAUAAAAUAACAUUUCUCUCCUUUGUGUGCUGAACUUGCCUAUGGCUUUUGCUAUAGUUUGUCCUGAAUUGUAAUUCUUCUGCUAUUCUUGAAUAAACCCCUUUUGCUGGUGAAAUAACAGGCUGUUUUAUUUGCUUAGGUCAACAGUAUGUAAAAUGGAAUAGUCUUAAAAAAGGAAAUUCUUAAAAAAAGGAAAUUCUGUUACGUGUUAAAACAUAGAUGAACCUUGAAGACAUUAUGUUAAGUGAAAGAAGCCAGACACAAAAGGACAAAUAUUGUAUGAUUCCACUAAUAUGAGGUACCUAGAAUAGUCAAAUUCAGAGACAGAAAGUAGCACAGUGGCUACCGGAGGCUGGGGGAAGGAGAAGAUGGGGAGUUAGUGUUUAAUUGAUACAGAGUUUCAGUUUGAAUGAUGAAAGUUCUGGAGAUGGAUGGUAGUGAUUGCACAACAAGGUGAAUGUAUUCAAUGCCACUUGACUGUACACUUUAAAGUGGUAAAUUUUAUGUUAUGUAUAUUUUACCACACACAAAAUACCUGCCUCUCAGCUUCUGUAGACCAGAUUUGCUCCCAAGACCCAGAGUCAAUUCUGAAAUACGUUUCUGGAUUCACACUUUCUCAUCAUUUCUGGCUUCUCUAGAUUUUCUUUGCUUGUCCCAUCAGAGUAGUAAAUCUAAUUUUUUCUGUAUCCAUCAUUUAGGAAAAUCUUUAUUGGAAGGAUAUCAGAGGAAAUCUAGUCCCUCGUAUUGCCAGAAACAAAAGUCCCUUUGCAUGAGUUUAAAAGGGAGGUGAAAUAGUUAUAUUGAUAUUUUUAAACAAUCGUGCCACCUGUUGACAGUAAGUGUAAGAGAGUUGAAGCAGAGAGGUCAGAAGAUGCCUCUGUGGUUUUUUGGAGAUAUGAUGGUCCCUGGGACUAGCCUGGCAGUGUUAGCAUUAGAGGGACGUGGUCAUUUUGCAGAUUUAACAGGUGAGAUAUAUUGAGUAGAUGUGGCGGACGUGGGAGAUAGAAGAACCAUGGUUACUAUCUGUAUUUUCAUGGAUGGUGGUACCAUCUACUGAGAGGAAAAUUACCAGAGAGUAGUAAGUUGGGCAUGGGAGGAAUCUGGAGUUGUUUUUCUCAUAUUACAUUGGAAAUGCAUAUUUGAUGUCCUUGGAGACAGAUGGAAUGGUUAAUUGGAUGGGUCUGCAGCUCCAAAGCUGGAGAUGUGGAUUUGGACAUCAUUAACACAUAGCUAAUGCACACUGCUAACCAUCUGACUGGGUGAGGUGAGCUAGACCAAGUAUGGAGACAGAGAAAGAAGGGGUCCAGGUCAGAGCCCCGAGUACCUCCAAAGCUUAGAGGAGCCAGAAAAUGGCACUAGUUUCUUUCCCAGAUGCACUCCCAAGCACAAACACUGAUCCUUCAGAUCAGUUUUAUAAGCACAUGCAUAUUCUUAAAAAUUAUUUUUGACUUUUUAUUGUGUGAUUGACAUUUGUGUACUGACUUACUCUGCAGCUUAUUUUUUUGACUCAAUAGUAUGCCUUGUAGAUCUUAACACACUUAUUCUUGUAUCAAUACAAUAAUAAUCUUAGAAUAUUUUUUCAUAACUUGUAUUGCAGAACCCUUUUAUUUUUGUUCACUCCAAGAAUUCUUUGUUCUCCUUGCUCUUUCACUCUUCCAUAUGUAGUUAAGUAUUAGCUGGUGAAGACUCAUGAAAAAUGCUUUUCUUGGGAAUUGCAUUCAACUAACAUUAAUUUAGAGACAACUCAUGCUCACAAUAACAUUCUCUUCCUAGUUACUUAGGAACACUACUCAUUUUAUUUUGUAUUAUUUUAUACACUUUUUUGUUGUUUCAGAGUUUUUGCCCCACAAAUCUGACAUAUUUCUCAUUCAGCUUCUUCUUGGACCUUUUGCAUGAUUGCUUGUUAUUGCAGAUGAUAGCUCUUUUUUUUUUUUUAAAAAGAUUGGCACCUGAGCUAACAACUGUUGCCAAUCUUCUUUUUUCUUUUUCUGCUUUUUCUCCCCAAAUCCCCCUAGUACAUAGUUGCAGAUUUUGGUUGCAGGUCCUUCUAGUUGUGGCAUAUGGGAUGCCACCUCAGCGUGGCCUGAUGAGCUGUGCCAUGUUCAAAUCCAGGAUCUGAACAGUUGAAACUCUGGGCGGCCACAGUGGAGAACGCGAACUUCACCACUUGGCCAUGGGGCGGCCCCAGAUGAUAGCUUUUUAAAAAAACAGUAGAAUUUUUUGGGAGCAGAUUUAGGUUUAUGGAAAAAUUGAGCAGAAAGCACAAAGAGUUUCAAUAUACCCCAUUGCCCUCCCCCCAUUUCCCCUUUCAUUAAUGUGUUGCAUUACUGUGGUACAUUUGUCACAGUUUAUAAGCCAGUAUUGAUACAUUGUUUUUAACUAAAGUCCAUAAUAUACAUUAGGGUUCACUCUUUGUGCUGUACAUUCCAUGGGUUUGGACAAAUAUAGAAUGAGAUAUAUCCUCCAUUACAGUGUCAUACAGGAUAGUUUCACUGCCCUAAAGAUCCCCUGAGCCCUCCUCUUCACCCCUCUCUCCCUGAGAACCUAGCUGAUCUUUUUAUUGUCUCCAUAGUUUUGCCUUUUCCAGAAUGUCAUCUGGGUGGAGUCCUACGGUACGUACCUCUCUCAGAUUGGCUUCUUUCACUUAGCAACAUGCAUUUAAGGUUCAUCCAUGUCUUUUUGUGGUUUGAUAGUUCACUUCCUCUUAGCACUGAAUAAUAUUUCAUUAUGUGGUAUGGCUAUAUCACAAUUUGUUUAUCUCUUUACGUACUGAAAGAUAUCUUGUUUUUUU